rnacentral:misc_RNA from 1 species
AACGCACCUUGCGCUCUUGGGUUAUUCCUAAGAGCAUGUUCGUUGGAGUGUCGCGUACCUCUCAACCCCGCCUGGGCCUUUGGGUCCGGGUCGCCAGGGUUGGAUCUUGACGCCCUGUCGCCUUCUUGCUAAGGCCGACUGCGUUGAAUUGCAACAAGCUGUACCUUUGUACUAGCGGCUUGACCUGUUGUCAUAAGCUAAAACUUUCAACGGGGAUCGCUGGUCGGGAUGGGCUUACCACAAAUCGCUUUAUACACUUUGACCUCCAAUCGAGCAGGACUACCCCCUGAACUUAA